rnacentral:rRNA from 1 species
GGGACACGUGGUAUCCUGUCUGAAUAUGGGGGGACCAUCCUCCAAGGCUAAAUACUCCUGACUGACCGAUAGUGAACCAGUACCGUGAGGGAAAGGCGAAAAGAACCCCGGCGAGGGGAGUGAAAAAGAACCUGAAACCGUGUACGUACAAGCAGUGGGAGCACGCUUAGGCGUGUGACUGCGUACCUUUUGUAUAAUGGGUCAGCGACUUAUAUUCUGUAGCAAGGUUAACCGAAUAGGGGAGCCGAAGGGAAACCGAGUCUUAACUGGGCGUUAAGUUGCAGGGUAUAGACCCGAAACCCGGUGAUCUAGCCAUGGGCAGGUUGAAGGUUGGGUAACACUAACUGGAGGACCGAACCGACUAAUGUUGAAAAAUUAGCGGAUGACUUGUGGCUGGGGGUGAAAGGCCAAUCAAACCGGGAGAUAGCUGGUUCUCCCCGAAAGCUAUUUAGGUAGCGCCUCGUGAAUUCAUCUCCGGGGGUAGAGCACUGUUUCGGCAAGGGGGUCAUCCCGACUUACCAACCCGAUGCAAACUGCGAAUACCGGAGAAUGUUAUCACGGGAGACACACGGCGGGUGCUAACGUCCGUCGUGAAGAGGGAAACAACCCAGACCGCCAGCUAAGGUCCCAAAGUCAUGGUUAAGUGGGAAACGAUGUGGGAAGGCCCAGACAGCCAGGAUGUUGGCUUAGAAGCAGCCAUCAUUUAAAGAAAGCGUAAUAGCUCACUGGUCGAGUCGGCCUGCGCGGAAGAUGUAACGGGGCUAAACCAUGCACCGAAGCUGCGGCAGCGACGCUUAUGCGUUGUUGGGUAGGGGAGCGUUCUGUAAGCCUGCGAAGGUGUGCUGUGAGGCAUGCUGGAGGUAUCAGAAGUGCGAAUGCUGACAUAAGUAACGAUAAAGCGGGUGAAAAGCCCGCUCGCCGGAAGACCAAGGGUUCCUGUCCAACGUUAAUCGGGGCAGGGUGAGUCGACCCCUAAGGCGAGGCCGAAAGGCGUAGUCGAUGGGAAACAGGUUAAUAUUCCUGUACUUGGUGUUACUGCGAAGGGGGGACGGAGAAGGCUAUGUUGGCCGGGCGACGGUUGUCCCGGUUUAAGCGUGUAGGCUGGUUUUCCAGGCAAAUCCGGAAAAUCAAGGCUGAGGCGUGAUGACGAGGCACUACGGUGCUGAAGCAACAAAUGCCCUGCUUCCAGGAAAAGCCUCUAAGCAUCAGGUAACAUCAAAUCGUACCCCAAACCGACACAGGUGGUCAGGUAGAGAAUACCAAGGCGCUUGAGAGAACUCGGGUGAAGGAACUAGGCAAAAUGGUGCCGUAACUUCGGGAGAAGGCACGCUGAUAUGUAGGUGAAGCGACUUGCUCGUGGAGCUGAAAUCAGUCGAAGAUACCAGCUGGCUGCAACUGUUUAUUAAAAACACAGCACUGUGCAAACACGAAAGUGGACGUAUACGGUGUGACGCCUGCCCGGUGCCGGAAGGUUAAUUGAUGGGGUUAGCGCAAGCGA